UUGCUAAAGUCCAUAGCAUUUUCUAGCAAAAACAGUUUUGCUUGAUUUCACAAAUUAAGAGGCCUGCCAACAUUGAAAUUAUCUCCAGAGUUAAAUGUCUUAUAAUUAUAGUCUAUGUAAAACCAUAAUUAAUGCAAUGUUGCACUUACAAUUUUGUAAUGAUAGUAAUAAUCCAGUGUGCUUCUUCCAUCUAAGGAUCUAAGAGUGAUUCAUAAUCAUUAAUUAAGUGAAAUCCUUUACAGCCUCCCAAGGAUAAGCUAAAUAGGUUAUUCGGAACUCAAUGGUCAGUUUAAAGUUAAGUUUAGUCUGCAUUUGGAGCUACUGGAAAAUAAAUCAGUGUUGGGGAGAGGGAAAAUAAAUGUGUUUUUAGUUGGAAUUGAUUAGAGUAUUGAUAGUAACUUCUUUUGUACCUGUCGUUUCCAGCAGGUCUGCCAGAACACAGAAGAAGGAGUGAUCUUAUAGAAUAGUGACUCUCUUGUGAGUAUUAGGUGCCAUUAGGAAGUCACCUGGGGACAUAUGGCAAAGAAUCAAGUCCUUUUAGGUGAAGUGAUUGAUAGCAAGGCAGGCGUGAUAGCAUCCUUUGUUAUGAUUCUUGGACAAAGCAGAACGUGGUUCUGGAUAUGUGACUGGACUCUCUGUCUGUUCCACAAGUGGCUCAUGUGCGGUUCUAUCAUAUUUUACUAUUUUACUACAACCCUUGACCAAAAAAUGAAUUAGAUUUGUGAUGUUUAUAACUUAUCCUGGCAUACCGAUAAUGUAGAAGCGCGUGUCCAGAGAAUGUUACUGUGCCGAGUUCACUUGAAACAGAAAUUUAUCCUCCCCCCCCAAAAAUUUACUCGUUAGAAGGACUUAAGAUGAAAACCUGUUGAAAGGUUUAAACAGGUCAUAUCUUUUAAUCACUUUUGAAAAGUGCAGUUCCAAGGCAGAGUUUCCUUAUUCUUAGGUAUGCCUUUGAUGCAAGAUAUUAUUAUGGGCUAUUAAUGUAGUCCUCAUUGAUUUAUAUGAUUUUUAAGCAACUGGUUGCAGAAAAAUGAUAUUAGAUGGAACAAUAAAAUAUUUAACUGACCAUAACUGUUAAAGAGUGGCAUGUAUAAAAUAUAUAACAAGGAGUCCCCGUUGUGGUGCAGCGGAAACAAAUCCAACUAGGAACCAUGAGGUUGCGAGUUUGAUCCCUGGCCUUACUCAGUGGGUUAAGGAUCCGGUGUUGCCAUGAGCUGUGGUGUAGGUUGCAGGCAUAGCUCGGAUUCUGCAUUGCUGUGGCUGUGGUGUAGGCUGGCAGCUGUAGCUCCAAUUUGACAUCUAACCUGGGAACCUCCAUAUGCCACAAGGGUGGCCCUAAAAAGCAAAAAAUAAAAUAAAAUGAACAAAAGUCUUAAAAUAAACUUAGUAUAUAAUAAGUAUACGUUUGGCACCACCAAUGAAAAUAUUUUUACUGAUUUAUUUUUUUUCUUAGGGUAAAAAGAUAAUCCACCUUGUCUGUGUAAUUUCAGCCUUUUCAUUUUUUCUUUUUUUUUUUCUAUGUCUAUAACCUUUCCAUUUCUCUUUCUCACAGAGUACUGCAUUUAUUUUCAUUAUAUACUCAGCUGUUUCCCUAUAGUCUUAAUCCAUUUCUUCCAAGAUUUCAGAAUCAUUAUUGUUACUCUUAGGGACAGUAUCAGAAACCAUCAGAUACAGUUUUUACGUGUUUGUCUUUAAUAAACCACAAAUUGUCAGAGAGAGAAGACUUUAGCCGCCCAGGACAUGAUAUUUUCAUUUCUUGCUAUGUAAUGUCUCGUGUCUUUAUCAUUUUUUUCCAGUUACUAAACCACUCAUUGGCUUUUAUCCAUUUAUAAAAUAUCAUAUAUUCAUAUAUAUAGAAAGAGUAAAAUAGAAAUAAAGAAUAAAAUAGAAAGAGGUGGAAGUCAAGGAGAGACAUGCUAACAGUUACCAAACAACUAUAGAGAAUUCAUUCAGAUCAAAGAAAGUUGGGCGUUAUUUGACAGUCUUUAAUGGGAAGCAGCUGCUUUGGGAAGUCUUCUGGAAUAAUUUGUUCUACUCUAGACUUGCAAAGGACUGUGCCAUCUCCAAAGAAUUCAGAUCAUUGAACCUUUUUUAAUUUCCUUCUCCUGUUCAAUUCAAGAGAUGUGAUGCAAGGUGAUGUUUCAAUGGAUGUCUGACCGAAGUGUCAGGCUCUGUAAAUACUCUGUUUCCCGGGGUGAAGUGCUACAAAACGCAUAUUCAGUAGAGCAGAAAUAGCCUUGCCUUUCCCGCACUUCCUGUGGCUGCUGUAGGUGGAAAGCAAUGAAUUCAGAAUUCUCAUGUCCGUCAGGCCAACUUCCCAAUGAGCUUUGCUUCAGGCACCCUGGAUAUUGCCACAUGAUAACUAUAUUUCAUUUGUUCUCAGAUGUUUGCAGCUAAAGGGCUAUGUUUCAGGGCUCGCAUUUCUGCCGCACAACCAACCUUACCAGCUUCUGCUACCCGUAAAUAAAUAUCCAUCAGAAUUUGCUAGAAUUUAUUAUAAGAAUGGCCUUCUGUUUCAUGCGUUAUCAACAGCCAUGAAGCCUGAUUCCUAUCAUCUCUCCAAAUAAAACAAUAAAUUCAUGUUAUUACCUAAUAGUAAACAGAAAUCAUUAACAGAUCAGUGGAGGAAUUUUGAAUCUUGAAAAGGUGAUUCUUAGAGGAUAUUGAGAAAAACAGGAUUUCUAGGUAUUGUGAGAAACAGGAGGAAAAAAUGGUGUCGUUUACACCGGAAGUUACCGGCCUUCAAAUUCAUGACUACCAGAAAGUCUGAAAUUCAAAAGGCGUGAGUUCUCUUCUCUGCCACUGACUGUUGGAGACUCAGCUCUGAUCGAAUUGGAUGAAGAGACUUGUAGAUCAUCUGGCAGCUUCUCCCGUCCUUUACCUCACUCUCUCUCUCUUUUUUUUUCCCAAAAACAAAGUGCUGAGUGAUUGAUCAAGGCCUUCAAGCCUCCCACGUCCCUUCUGUCCCCCCCCUCCCCCCGCAAACACCUGUGCGGGAUCCUCAAUGUCCCCCUUUUCUCCUCGCCCAUUUCUGCAAAGAAGUGGACGUGCCAGGCUGAUCCCCCGACUGCGCGUUGGCUCCAUCUUCGCUUGAAUCCAGAGGAAGACUCUGGGGUCUUCUUCCAACAAUGACCUUUUCUCCUUUCUUUAAUUAACUUCUCUUCCACUUCCCAGGAAAGAAAAUCAAAUUGCACUGCAUCCAAACCCCCAUAGGUCUGGUGAUCUUUGGAAAAUACGUUGGCCAUCUUAUUAGGGGAAAAUAUAUGCAAAAGGAGAAAGAACAGAAUAAUGAGCUCCCAUUCAUGCCACACUCAACUUCAGCAGUCACAGAUCCCUGGCCACCCUUGUUUCACCUCUACCUCCAUCCCUUGCCUCCCUGUCGGAGUAUUUUGAAACAAAUCCCAGAUAUUAAAUCAUGUCUAGUAUUUAUCAGGAAAAUAGAACUCUCAUGAAACAUAACAACGUCAUUCCCACACUUUAAAAUUAACAGGAAUGCUUUAAGAACCACAAGAUAUCCAGUUGAUGUUCACAUUUUCCCAGCUGUCUCGGAUAAUUUUUUAAGAGGGUUUGAGUCAAGAUUCGGAUGAGAUCAUCCUUUGCAAUUAGUUGAUGUUUCUCUUUGGUCUCUUCCUCUCUCUGUGUCUGUAACGUAUUUGUUGAAAAACCUGUAUGUUUGUUACAUGGAGUUUCCCACAGCCUGGAUUGUGCUGAUUUUGUCUUGUCGUGUCAUUUGGCAGGUUCUGAACCUAUGAGUCCUACAAAUUGGUGGUUGGAUUUGGAGGCUCCAUCAGAUUCAAAUUUUAUAUUUUUGCAAGAAAUGCCUUUUAGAUGGUUUUCUCUACCUCAGGUAAGAGCACAAAUGAACCUUUCCAUAGAAAAGAAAAUCAUGGACUUGGAGAAUAGGCUUGUGGUUGCCAAGGGGGAGGCGGAGGGAGUGGGGGUGGAUUGGGAGCUUGGGGUUCAUAGAUACAAACUAUUGCCUUCGGAAUGGAUUAGUGAUGAGAUCCUGCUGUGUAGCACUGAGAACUAUGUCUAGUCACUUAUGAUGGAGCAUGAUAAUGGAAGAAAAAAGAAUGUAUUCAUAUAUGUGUAACUGGGUCACCAUGCUGUACAGUAGAAAAAAAAUAAUGUGUUGGGGAAAUUUUAAAAAAAGCAAUGUAACGAAAUAAAAGCUGGCACACUUUUUAUUAUUAACGAGGCCACUGAUUCUAGUAUCUCUGAGAACAAAUUCUUCAAUGGGACUAAUUUAUAAAAAUUGCUGCAGUUCCUGUUGAAUUUUAAUAACAAUUAUGUAAGCUUCAAAUUGCACAUUUUUAUUACCUAUCCUUUAGUAAACGUGUUCUUCUCUGUGGAAGUUGGCUUAGAGAAAUCCAGUUUGACAGUUGGCCUUGACACACAAGGACUGGGUGAAAUGUUUCCAUUUCAAGGAUAAUUUCAUAAGGACUGGGAUUCAUUAGAACUUUGAGUGCAGCUGGGGACAGUCCGGUAAUGCGAUCACGUUCUGGAAUACCCAGAAUGCAGGUUACUUUACUUCUCACAUGGUCAUUGGGUGUGAUCACUUGAAGUUAUUCAUUCUUACAUUUUUUAAUUUAUUUAUAUCUUUUAUUUUUAUUUUUUAAAAAAUGUAUUGGAGUAUAGUUGGUUUACAAUGUGUUAGUUUCAGGUGUACAAUAAAGUGAAUCAGUUAUACAUUUUAUAUAUAUAUAUAUGCACAUAUAUACACACACACACACAUUUUUAAAUUUAAAAGACUGAAAUAGAGUGUGAAUUGCAAGGUGCGAGAGUUUGGUAACUGCAAAUUCUUGUCACACAUCAAAUUUUACUGUGUUUGAUUUACAUGUUUAAAAAGGAAAUGUAUCCUUUUUCAUUGUUAAUCGUUUUUAAAGAACACAUUUGUAUAUUUUUUGUAUUUCUUUUUCUUUAUUGACUAGUCUUCUAAAUAACAAGUUGGUUUCCUAACAUCCUCCAAAGGUAGGAGUUCAUUUUAGUUUUGUUUUUAUGAACUCAUCGAUCUAAAUAUAUAUUCGAUGUGUUUUGCAACACAUUAAAUCAAUGGCAAUUAGAUUGCAAUUAUUUUUCUUAUGGAUGCAUCAAAUACUCAUCCAUAGCUGGUUGGGGAAUCUCUUCAGAUUACUCUGGGUCCUUUUGAUACAACCUUAAAGGUCUUUGAUAGCUUUUUGCUUUGUGGUAUAAUAAGAUGUUUCAGGCACAUCUUAUACAUAUUUCAUUUUCCAGGCUUGGCAUCAGUCAUGUCUACAGAGAGCAUUGGUUUCCUUUAGUGGGAAAUAGUAUCUGGGUGCAGUAAUCGGAGCACUAGUGGUGUUUAUUUCCAUGGUGUUUGAGAGGGUUUCUCGGCAUUUUCAGUGGAUGGUGCUAGAGAAACAAAAAAGGUAAAAUGUACAAUAAAUUAAUACUCAUAUUUUCCAAGUAAGUCAAAUUCAGGACUCCAAGAUUUUUACUUGCUGCCUUCAAUAUUACAUCUCCAACUCAUGAUGAAAAUUCCAGUUUACAAUAAUGCCAACACAGAUUUGCUUUAUUAUGUAAUUCAUGCACAAUAAUCUUAGGAUAGCAGUAUCAUGUCUACAACCCCCACUGGGAUUGCUGUGAACAUUCAGGAGUUUUUUCGUGAUUACUUUUGUCCAUCGGAUCUUUCCAACUAGGAAUGUACCGUCACAUUACUGUGUUUUAAAGUCACGUGAGGAGUUCCCAUUGUGGCUCAGCUGGUUAAGAACCCAACUAAUAUCCAUGAGGAUGUGGGAUCUUGGUCUUGCUCAGUGGGUUAAGGAUCUGGUGUUGCCACUUGCUGUGUCAUAGGUCACAGAUGCGGCUGGGAUCCUGCAUGGCUAUGACUGUGGCGUAGGCUGGCAGCUGCAGCC
rnacentral:lncRNA from 1 species